AGAGUUUGAUUCUGGCUCAGAACGAACGCUGGCGGCAUGCCUAACACAUGCAAGUCGAACGCUUACCGGGCUUCGGUUCGGUGGGAGUGGCGCACGGGUGAGUAGCGCGUGGGAACCUGCCCUGUUGUGGGGGAUAACCGAGGGAAACUUCGGCUAAUACCGCAUGCGCCCGGGGGUGACUCCGGGGAAAGAUUUAUCGCAGCAGGAGGGGCCCGCGUCGGAUUAGCUAGUUGGUGGGGUAACGGCCCACCAAGGCUUUGAUCCGUAGCUGGUCUGAGAGGAUGAUCAGCCACACUGGGACUGAGACACGGCCCAGACUCCUACGGGAGGCAGCAGUGGGGAAUAUUGGACAAUGGGCGCAAGCCUGAUCCAGCAAUGCCGCGUGCGGGAUGAAGGCCUUCGGGUUGUAAACCGCUUUCAGCAGGGACGAAAUUGACGGUACCUGCAGAAGAAGCCCCGGCCAACUACGUGCCAGCAGCCGCGGUAAUACGUAGGGGGCAAGCGUUGCCCGGAUUUAUUGGGCGUAAAGAGCUCGUAGGUGGUUUGGUAAGUCGGAUGUGAAAUCUCCAGGCUCAACCUGGAGGGGUCAUUCGAUACUGCCAUGACUAGAGGUCGGUAGGGGAGUGUGGAAUUCCUGGUGGAGCGGUGAAAUGCGCAGAUAUCAGGAGGAACACCCGUAGCGGAGGCGGCACUCUGGGCCGAUUCUGACACUGAGGAGCGAAAGCGUGGGGAGCGAACAGGAUUAGAUACCCUGGUAGUCCACGCCGUAAACGUUGGGCACUAGGUGUGGGACUCUAUCGAC
rnacentral:rRNA from 1 species